rnacentral:rRNA from 1 species
CCUACGGGAGGCAGCAGUGAGGAAUAUUGGUCAAUGGGCGCGAGCCUGAACCAGCCAAGUAGCGUGAAGGAUGACUGCCCUCCGGGUUGUAAACUUCUUUUAUAAAGGAAUAAAGUGAGGCACGUGUGCCUUUUUGUAUGUACUUUAUGAAUAAGGAUCGGCUAACUCCGUGCCAGCAGCCGCGGUAAUACGGAGGAUCCGAGCGUUAUCCGGAUUUAUUGGGUUUAAAGGGAGCGUAGAUGGGUUGUUAAGUCAGUUGUGAAAUUUUGCGGCUCAACCGUAAAAUUGCAAUUGAUACUGGCAGGCUUGAGUACAGUUGAGGUAGGCAGAAUUCGUGGUGUAGCGGUGAAAUGCUUAGAGAUCACGAAGAACUCCGAUUGCGAAGGCAGCUUACUAAACUGCCACUGACAUUGAGGUGCGAAAGUGUGGGUAGCAAACAGGAUUAGAUACCCGAGUAGUC